rnacentral:misc_RNA from 1 species
UAUAUGGAGACAUACUCAGCUAUAUGUAACACGCUUUAAGCCGCAUACACACGUACGUACAUCAAAGAACAUAUUACACAAUUUGUUCCGCAUCUUAUUUUGCAAUCAUCCUAACACCUCACAUCCACAGAGCACCCUUAUCUCUGACAACACGUACCAUAUACUUACACAGACCACCUUCUACAUACCCGGCUGCAAACCACUACCACUACCACCGCAACCGCAUCCACCUCUCCAAACAAAAAGCAUCCACCCACCUUCUUCAAAAUCAGUCACACCAUUACCCCCAAAACUACAAAAGUAACACCCAGGUACCAAAACCCAACUCUAUACCCCGACCCCCGCCCUUAAUUUUAUCCGAGCCACCCAAAUGAUCAAACGUAACACGUCUCUGUUCUUACUCCCCCUCAGCACCAAACAGAUCCCGUUCACCGUACCCCCACAUGGCACCCCCCAGGUGUCGCGUCGAUCGAGCAGAUCGCUCGGAGAGGAGCACCCAGCUGGCUACGGAUCCGAGCCUUCGUCUCCGGCGUUGAAACGUCCCUCGGUGGAGAUACCUGGUGCCUAUGAACUUGGGGCUAUAGACCCAAGUCUUUAUAAAAUUGUUGAUGAAGAUGAAGAUUACGACAUGUCUGACGACCAUAUCGGUCGAUUGUGGUUUACGGUGGAGUACGAACGGGAAACGGAAAAACUGCUCGUCACACUAAUAAAAGCGAAAAACUUACCCAGCCGUACAAUGAGUAGUUCAAACGGAUGCGACCCCUUCGUCAGGAUCUACUUAAUGCCUGACGAACGGCGCUAUUUACAGUCAAAACUGAGAAAAAAAACCUGUAACCCCAAAUUUGAAGAAAGCUACAUAUUCCAGGUAUCGCACAAAUCCUUUGACGAUCGAAUUCUGAAGUUCACCAUGUUUGAUGUGGAUCGUCACCGACGUCAUAAUGUAAUUGGACACGCAUUGUUCCCGCUCAAAGAAUAUGAUUGCGAGAAUAACGAGAGAAUGGUUAUUUGGCGGGAUCUCGAGAAAGAAGUGUCAGAGUCCACCUCCGACAAAGGGGAAAUAUUUAUUGCCUUGUCUUACAACAGCCAUUUGGAGCGCCUUACCACUGCUAUAUUUGAGGCAAGAGACCUGAAGAAAACAGACGGUAACACCAACGUUGGAAUGGAUUCCUAUGUGAAAGUGUGUCUCUUAAUUCAGAACAAGAUUGUCAAAUCGAAAAAAACUGCGAUUGUGAAGCGAACCAUCGACCCGAACUUUAGCGAGUCUUUCACUUUUAAGCUCUCUUCAUCGUCACUUGAUACGGCAAGCAUAAGUGUUAGCACUAUGCAACAUUUCACCGGUGCUAAAGACAAAAUGAUCGGCCGAGUGGUCCUUGGAUCUUUCAUGUUCGCUCGUGGUCGGGAGCUGGAACACUGGAAUGAAAUGUUGAGCAGUCAACGGGAUCAAAUCAGUUACUGGCACUCCCUCACCUAAGAAUCAACCUCUCCUUCAAUGAUACGAAUUACUGUAAUAGAGUUUAAUGUAUGUGCAUAUAUACAUACAUACAUACAUACAUACAUACAUACAUACAUACAUACAUAUAUACAU